rnacentral:rRNA from 1 species
UUCGUAGGGGGUCAACUAAGUUUGAUGUGAAAUCCCGAGGCUUAACCUCGGAACUGCAUUGAAAACUGGUAGACUUGAGGACUGGAGAGGAGAGCGGAAUUCCUGGAGUAGCGGUGGAAUGCGUAGAUAUCAGGAAGAACAUCGAAAGCGAAGGCAGCUCUCUGGCCAGUAUCUGACCCUGAGGGACGAAAGCGUGGGUAGCGAACAGGAUUAGAUACCCUGGUAGUCC